rnacentral:ncRNA from 1 species
ACCCCCAAGUUACGUCUCAUCUUUGGUCGGAUACAACGUAAACUCGGGGGCCGUAAGCAGGCGCGGUGCCUGCGGGAAUUAUAUCUCAUGCGCGCUCAAGAUCAAUCCCCCCUGCCGACCUU